UACGAGGGGGGCGAGCGUUGUUCGGAAUUAUUGGGCGUAAAGGGUGCGUAGGCGGUUUGGUAAGUCUUGUGUGAAAUCUACAGGCUCAACUUGUAGUCUGCAUGAGAAACUGCCGGGCUUGAGUGUGGGAGAGGUGAGUGGAAUUCCUGGUGUAGCGGUGAAAUGCGUAGAUAUCAGGAGGAACACCUGUGGCGAAAGCGGCUCACUGGACCAUAACUGACGCUGAUGCACGAAAGCUAGGGGAGCAAACAGG
rnacentral:rRNA from 1 species